AUUGAACGCUAGCGGCAUGCCUUACACAUGCAAGUCGAACGGUAACAGGUUAAGCUGACGAGUGGCGAACGGGUGAGUAAUAUAUCGGAACGUGCCCAGUCGUGGGGGAUAACGUAGCGAAAGCUACGCUAAUACCGCAUACGAUCUACGGAUGAAAGCGGGGGAUCGCAAGACCGCGCGCGAGUGGAGCGGCCGAUAUCAGAUUAGGUUGUUGGCGAGGUAAAAGCUCACCAAGCCUGCGAUCUGUAGCUGGUCUGAGAGGACGACCAGCCACACUGGAACUGAGACACGGUCCAGACUCCUACGGGAGGCAGCAGUGGGGAAUUUUGGACAAUGGACGCAAGUCUGAUCCAGCAAUGCCGCGUGCAGGACGAAGGCCUUCGGGUUGUAAACUGCUUUUGUACGGAACGAAACGGUGAGCUCUAAUACAGUUUGCUAAUGACGGUACCGUAAGAAUAAGCACCGGCUAACUACGUGCCAGCCGCCGCGGUAA
rnacentral:rRNA from 1 species